rnacentral:rRNA from 1 species
GACGUAGGGCGCGAGCGUUGUCCGGAUUUAUUGGGCGUAAAGAGCUCGUAGGCGGCCUGUUAAGUCGAACGUGAAAUCCCCGGGCUCAACCCGGGAACUGCGUCCGAUACUGGCAGGCUUGAAUUCGGGAGAGGGAUGUGGAAUUCCAGGUGUAGCGGUGAAAUGCGUAGAGAUCCGGAGGAACCCCCGAGGCGAAGGCGGCGUCCUGGCUCGAACCUGACACUCAGACACGACAGCAUGGGGAGCGAACGGG